UACAGAGGUCCCAAGCGUUGUUCGGAUUCACUGGGCGUAAAGGGUGCGUAGGCGGUCGAGUAAGUCUGACGUGAAAUCUCCGGGCCUAACCCGGAAACUGCGUUGGAAACUACUUGGCUAGAGGAAUGGAGGGGAGACUGGAAUACUUGGUGUAGCAGUGAAAUGCGUAGAUAUCAAGUGGAACACCAGUGGCGAAGGCGAGUCUCUGGACAGUUACUGACACUGAGGCACGAAGGCCAGGGGAGCAAACGGG
rnacentral:rRNA from 1 species